AAGGGCACCACAAGAACGCGUGGAGCAUGUGGCUUAAUUUGACUCAACACGGGAAAUCUUACCGGGUCCGGACACACUGAGGAUUGACAGGUAACUGUAGUGUUAUUAAUAAUUUAUUAUUUUAAUGCUCUUCAAAUAUGCUAGUCCUUUCAUGAUUGUGUGAUAGGUGGUGCAUGGCCGUUCUUAGUUCGUGGAGCAAUCUGUCUGCUUAAUUGCGCCAUUAAUAGUGGAACGUACCCGUUUGCGCAACGUUAUGCUAUAUUUUGUUAUUUUUUAUUGGUUAAUCCCUUUAUUAAAUGCUUAAUAUUAGCUAAUGUUUACCGCUGGGUUCAGUGUCCCCUGGCAACGAACGUGACCCCAACCUUUAGUUGCUCUGAUUUACAUGUUAAAUUUUAGAUGAAAUAUUCUUUAAUUUAGUGGAGCAAACUAAAGGGACCGAUGGCAAUUAGUAACCCAUAGGAAGGUUGGGGCAAUAACAGGUCUGUGAUGCCCUUAGAUGUCCCGGGCUGCACACGUGCUACAAUGAUCUAUGCAGUAAGCAUGUAACAAAGACUCUGUCAUUUUUCAUUUUAGUUUAUUCUAGAAUGUUAAUGCGGAGCAAGCCUGCUUCGAAAGUAAGUAGGCAAUCAAUUCUAAGUAUAGAUUUCCUUUGAUACUAGGUUCAUAAGCUUGCUUUUGAACUGUAUUUUACUUAAUUCAUGGUGGGGACAGACCCUUGUUAAUUGUUGGUCUCGUCUUAACUAGGAAUGCCUUGUACGGGUCUUUGGUUCAACAAACCACCCGGAAUAUGUCCCUGCCCUUUGUACACACCGCCCGUCGCUCUUACCGAUGGACAUCUCUGUGAGUCUGAGGGACUUGCUUCCCGCAGGAAACUUAGACGAACAGGGUGGUCUAAAGGAAAGAGAAGUCGUAACAAGGCAUCUGUAGGUGAACCU
rnacentral:rRNA from 1 species